CAUCCGUGUCUUGUGGUUGCGGUGAGUCCAGCUACCUCGCGUGUCUCUUGUCAGGUCACGCAAUCUCAAAAAUCGUCUUUAAAAUGACUUGCUGUUGAACAGGACAGCGCUAAAUUAUUAAAACGAGGCGGCUCCCGGGAGAGCGACCCGCUGCCCCCUGACUGACCCGGCAACGUCGGUCGUCCUGUCCCUCUGCCUGCGGUUCUUGAACCAGUUGCUGACCUGUGUGGGUGUCAGGCCGGUGGCUGCCGCCAGCUCCCGCUUCUCCCGGGUCGAGGGAUACGGUUUGUGAAGAGACUGGGCCUUGCUACAUGGGGACUACAAGCCCAGCUCAUCGUCCACAGGGACAGACUGGAGCUGAGUAAGAAUCUUGGAGUCACCAUCCAUCUCCUCUGGAUUCCCCAGUGGUGAGCUGGCUUCCACAUCCUGCUCCGGAGAGGGGCUUCCCAGAAGCAGCGACUCUCCUCCAGGGAGGCCUAACAAAGCCGGGUCUACAGCAUACCUGGAGGCGCAGAGGGCAGCUGAAUGAUCCCAGAGUUGAGGAGUUGCACACCAGGGGCCAUGCUGGUUGGGGGAGCCGC